GGUAAAUUUCCGCUGCACGGUCAUACUUAAUCUACCAACAAGCGUGCUUGUGCUGAUAAAAUUUACUGAUCUUUAAAUUGGUCUACAGGAUCCAGAUUCAAAACGGCAGAAACCAUCAUUCACAAAGGUCACUUUGGGAUACAGUUACCUUCCACCAGAUUUCGGACCCCGCUACCUGGGAAAGCGCUACCUGUUUUUACUGCGAAUCGUGACAGUUUGCUUUUGGAAACGGAUUCCGAGAAGGGAUUUCAUAUACCAGCUCGUAAAAUAAUGGAGAUUAUGGGUGAAAACAUCUUAAUAAAGGAGUCGAAAAUAUUUUGAGAAAGAUUAUUUGUCUACUAAAAAGUAUUAUACAUUUACUUACAUCAAGAAUAUUCAUAAAGAGC